UACGUAGGGUGCAAGCGUUAUCCGGAAUUAUUGGGCGUAAAGGGCUCGUAGGCGGUUUGUCGCGUCGGGAGUGAAAACUCAGGGCUUAACCCUGAGCCUGCUUCCGAUACGGGCAGACUAGAGGUAUGCAGGGGAGAAUGGAAUUCCUGGUGUAGCGGUGAAAUGCGCAGAUAUCAGGGGGAACACCGGUGGCGAAGGCGGUUCUCUGGGCAUUACCUGACGCUGAGGAGCGAAAGUGUGGGGAGCGAACAGG
rnacentral:rRNA from 1 species